UCGGACGUGGUGCAGGGUGCACGCCCCCACACAGUGCCAUGAAAGGAUACUUAUAUAGUUUGCGGCGGGAGGACUGGGUUCGAUUCCCAGCGUCCGAA